GGUCGUUCCCUUGGUGUUGAUCGCCCUUUUAGCGUUCGUGCUUGCAGGAGUGGUGUUUUACCGCAAGAGGUUACAGUAUUCUGUUUAACCAACGGAUCAAUCGCCUGGCUCAUAAGCUCAAACCGAAGAAAAAUAAGAAAUGAAGAGAAAGUAGCGAGCAGUUUUGUAGUUGGUACAAAACUUGCUUUAAACGAACUCCGGUUGACAACUCCUAAACAUAGUGUACGACCUCGAGCAUUAUUUACAAGAGAGAUUUAGUCUGCAAUCGAUUUAUUCGAAAUAGAGCUCGAGAUCCUAACAUUAGCCCUGACGCUAAGCCGUCAUGUUUGAUUUUGUAUGUUGUACGGAAAUUAUUUUCUCUUUCCAACCCCUCUCAGAUUUAAAAGUUCAAAAUGGGAGCUAAUAAUUUCACGAAAAAAGAAGGAACGAAAAAUGUUUUGUGUAAUGUAGAGUACAACUAAUUACCGAAGUACAACUAAUCUGCUUAGGAUCAAAUCAGCGACGAAUUCAUGGUACAAACGGACAACGACUACGUAAAGCACACAACACCAGCCAAUGGUAGGCUUUCAAAAACGUACACCAGGGGUGGAUCAAGGAAUUUUUGAUAGGGGAAGGAUGAUUCAAUCUUUUAUUUAGAAAAUAUAGAAAUGUCAAUCUGCAUUAGCGCCUUAACAAACUUAAAUAUGUUUCAAGACAAGUUAAUACAAACACUUCAUAUGGAGUUUUAAUGUGCAAUCCUGCCGUUGCAUGAAUUGUACGUCAGAUAAAUAGUAAAUAUUAGAAAAUUCACCCCAGCCCCCACUUCCUUGACCCAUUUACCUUGUACAUAGAAUCGUUGUGUCACUUAGCUAAUAUAACAGUAGAAGCUCGAUUUAACGAACCUCUAUAUAAUGAAGUCCUCGGUAUAACGAACACAAUCCAGAGGCCCAAACGUAUAACAUACCCGGAUAUAACGAACAAAUGUCAACACGUGAAAAUUUUUAAUUUUUUUAAAAAAACUAAAGUAGUGAGCAGCACUCUGCGAACAGUAGUUGUAAACCUUCUUUAUUCUCCAACGCGUUUUUUCUAACUGUCGUCGACUUCUUCAAGGAGUUUUACAAGUUAAAUCGAGGUUUUCUCCAUAACGAACCCUCGAUAUUACGAACCAAUUUCCCCAGUCCCUAGGCACUUUGUUAAAUCGAGUUUCCACUGUAAAAACUAUGUACAAGAAAUCAUUCUAAGUAGUUUAAGUGUUGUAUUGAAAGUGGUUUUGUAUUAUUAAAGACGAAGUUAGUAAAAUAUAUAGAUACGGACAAGUCUGGUUGCAAGUAGCC